rnacentral:tRNA from 1 species
AGGAUAGUAGUUAAACAUAACAUUUGAAUUGCAAUCAAAAAGUAUUGACCACCAAUCUAUCUUA